ACGCGCGAAACCUUACCCACCUUUGACAUGUACGGAAUCCUGAAGAGAUUUGGGAGUGCUCGAAAGAGAACCGUAACACAGGUGCUGCAUGGCUGUCGUCAGCUCGUGUCGUGAGAUGUUGGGUUAAGUCCCGCAACGAGCGCAACCCUUGUCAUUAGUUGCUACGAAAGGGCACUCUAAUGAGACUGCCGGUGACAAACCGGAGGAAGGUGGGGAUGACGUCAAGUCCUCAUGGCCCUUAUAGGUGGGG
rnacentral:rRNA from 1 species